ensembl:antisense Gm19582 predicted gene, 19582
GUUUUUCCAGUAAAGGGUAACUAACUGGCCUCGGAGGAAAAGCGCACUGCAGCAGGAUGAGCAAGCCCGUGCCAGCCGGAACUACCAAGGCUGCCCCACGGUGGCAACCUGCUAGCCACCACCUGUCCAGCCACCUGCCUGAGGAAGCCCUUCCAACAAGGAGGGCUCACCUCGACAAGAAACCAUACGCAGUUUUCAAGAGGAACCAGAAAGGAAAAGCAAAGGGUGCAACUUUAUUCUUAGGGAAAGACAACAAAAAGGCAUGUGUCUCUCUGCACUGCAACCCGAGCGGCUGGAGUUCUCCACGGAGAGAGUUCUGAGCCCAGCGGGGGUGAGGACCCCGCAGCGGGCUGAGCAGUGGAGGGAGAGCCUGACGCAGGUGAGUACGGGAAGCUGCACCCGGUGCUCAGACCUACAGACCCCCAGGCCUCGGGGAGCACGCGCCUGCGGCCCCCGCAGCGGUCCCCGCAGCGGCCCCAGCAGCACGCCGGGCCUCGGUCUCCUCAGCGGCGGCGCCCACCUGCGCCCAGUCCCCGCAGACCGGUCCCCGCGGCCCCGUCCUCGCGGCCCGGUCCCCGCGGUCCGUUAAGCCGCGGCGCGCUCGGCCCCGUAGCAGCGACCGCAGGACCUCGGGCCCGGCAGGGCCUGGGCGGCCGCUCGCACACGGUCACGGGCCUCGGCAGGGACCGCGGCGUGAGGGGCGCGCGCCCGGCCGACGCCGCGGGCUCACCUUCUGCCGGAUCUGGCCCGACGUGGACACCUUACGGAUAAGCUUCUGCGGGGAGCCCGGCUCAGCCUCGGGUUCACUGUCGGACGACUCCUCAGGCGGCGGCGGCGGAG